rfam:Alligator sinensis unplaced genomic scaffold scaffold138_1, whole genome shotgun sequence
GUAGUUGUGGAUGCGUGGUAAAAGCAAUGGACUCAAAAUCCAUUGUGGUUUCCUGUGCAGGUUUAUAUCCUGUUAAUUAUG